rnacentral:rRNA from 1 species
UAGGGAAUCUUCCACAAUGGGCGAAAGCCUGAUGCAGCAACGCCGCGUGAGUGAUGAAGGCCUUCGGGCUGUAAAGCUCUGUCUUCUGGGACGAUAAUGACGGUACCAGAGGAGGAAGCCACGGCUAACUACGUGCCAGCAGCCGCGGUAAUACGUAGGUGGCAAGCGUUGUCCGGAUUUACUGGGCGUAAAGGAUGCGUAGGCGGAUACUUAAGUCAGAUGUGAAAAUCCCGGGCUUAACUUGGGAACUGCAUUUGAAACUGGGUAUCUAGAGUGCGGGAGAGGAAAGUGGAAUUCCUAGUGUAGCGGUGAAAUGCGUAGAGAUUAGGAAGAACACCAGUGGCGAAGGCGACUUUCUGGACCGUAACUGACGCUGAGGCAUGAAAGCGUGGGGAGCAAACA